GUGGAUGUAGCUCAGUUGGUUAGAGCACUGGUUUGUGGUAUCAGGGGUCGUGGGUUCGAGCCCCAUCUUCCACCCA
rnacentral:tRNA from 4 species